rnacentral:lncRNA from 1 species
ACAUCAAGAAUACAAAAACCAGCAAUACUUUAUCAGCAUGCCCGUGGUACAUGGUUUCAUCCCAAGAGCUCAGUUGUUUUUCCAUAUGAAGACAUGCAGUGUCACCUCCUCAUAGGAAGAUAUAUCUGAACUUGGACGAGGAGUUUCAAAGGCAUUGGCAUAAUCCUUUGAUGAUAAAUCAAAUCCCAAUAUUGAGGUGAAAAAACUUUUAGGAAGAGAUGAUUAGGUGUUCAUUGUCGUAGCUAAGUGUCAGUUUAGCUGUCGUUGAAAAUCGACAUGC